UACGUAGGGGGGCGAGCGUUGUCCGGAAUUAUUGGGCGUAAAGGGCGUGUAGGCGGCCGAUCAAGUCAGGUGUGAAAUUCCAGGGCUCAACCCUGGACGUGCACUUGAAACUGGUUGGCUUGAGUGCAGAAGAGGAAAGUGGAAUUCCCAGUGUAGCGGUGAAAUGCGUAGAUAUUGGGAGGAACACCAGUGGCGAAGGCGACUUUCUGGACUGUAACUGACGCUGAGGCGCGAAAGCGUGGGGAGCAAACAGG
rnacentral:rRNA from 1 species